AGGAUCAGGGACCACAGGAGAAUCAGCAGAUGCAACUACAGAAGCCAAAACCAACAUUACAGGCAACACAGGCUUCAGAGAUGCUGGAUCAGGGGCCCCUACUGCACCAGCGAUAGAACCCAAAGAAGACACUACGCCCAGAGAACCAAGCACAGGAGCAGCAAGCCCAGGAAAUUCAGG